rnacentral:lncRNA from 10 species
CCUUAAGCAACAGAAAUUUAUUUUCCUACAGUUUUGAAGGCUGGAAGUCCCAGAUCAAGGUGCCAGCCAAUUUGAUUCCUGAACUUUGUGUCAAAGCAAAAGUUAAAUGGGAUCCAAUUAAACUAAAGAGCUUCUGGACAGCAAAAGAAACUAUCAACAGAGUAAAGAGACAACCUACAGAAUGGGAGAAAAUUUUUGCAAGCUGUGCAUCCAGUGAAGGUCUAAUAUCCAGCAUCUAUAAGGAACUUAAAUUUACAAGGAGAAAAACCAUUAAAAAGUGGGGAAAGGACAUAAACAGAUGCUUCUCAAAAGAAGAUAUACAUGUGGCCAAAUAAACAUAUAUAAAAAGCUCAACAUCACUGAUCAUUAGAAAAUUGCAAAUCAAAUCCACAAUGAGAUACCACUUCUCACCAGUCAGAAUGGCUAUUAUUAAAAAUAAAAAGUCAAAAAACAACAGAUGCUGGUGAGGUUGUGGAGAAAAAGUAAUGCUUAUACACUGUUGGUGAGAGUGUAAAUUAGUUCGGCAAUUGUGGAAGACAGUGUAGUGAUUCCUCAAAGACCUAAAGACAGAAAUACCAUUCCACCCAGCAAUCUCAUUACUGGGUAUAUACCCAAAGGAAUAUAAAUCGUUCUAUUAUAAAGAUACAUGCAUAUGUAUAUUCAUUGCACAACUGUUCACAAUAGCAAAGACAUGGAAUCAACCUAAAUGUCCAUCAAUGAUGGAGUGGAUAAAGAAAAUGUAGUACAUAUAUACCAUGGAAUACUAUGUAGUAAUAAAAAAGAAUGAAAUCGUGGCCUUUGCAGGAACAUGGAUGGAGCUGGAGGCCAUUAUUCUUAGCAAACUCACACAGAAACAGAAAAAUCAAAUACUGCAUAUUCUCACUUAUAAGUGGGAGCUAAAUGAUGAGAACACAUGGACACAUAGAGUGGAAAAACACAUACUGGGGCCUUUUGGAGGGUAGAGGGUAGGAGGGAGGAGAGGAUUAGGAAAAAUAACCAAUGGAUACUAGGUUUAAUACCUGAGUGAUGAAAAAAUCUGUACAACAAACCACCAUGACAAAACUUUAUCUAUGUAACAAACAUGCACUUUUACCCCUGAACUUAAAAUAAAAAUUAUAACUAAAUUUGUUUCAAAG